GGCCCGCUAGCUCAAUGGCAGAGCAACUGACUCUUAAUCAGUAGGUUCUCGGUUCGACCCCGAGGCGGGUCACC
rnacentral:tRNA from 1 species